UACAGAGGUCUCAAGCGUUUGUUCGGAUUCAUUGGGCGUAAAGGGUGCGUAGGUGGCGCUGUAAGUCGGGUGUGAAAUUUCGGAGCUUAACUCCGAAACUGCAUUCGAUACUGCGGUGCUUGAGGACUGGAGAGGAGACUGGAAUUCAUGGUGUAGCAGUGAAAUGCGUAGAGAUCAUGAGGAAGACCAGUGGCGAAGGCGGGUCUCUGGACAGUUCCUGACACUGAGGCACGAAAGCGUGGGGAGCAAACAGG
rnacentral:rRNA from 1 species